UCUUGCUGAUGAUUGUCUUCUUUUGUCUUUUGAGUAUUGAGUUGAUUAGCAUACCUUGGGUCCUGAUGCCUGGAAGAGCAGAAAGGACCAUUAUGGCAAUAUGGAAGGAUGAAUGCUUCAUGUGAACUCCAAGCUCCUUUCAUGUUUUCUUUGGUUCAUGGUGCUACAGAGGAGACAGGUCCUUGCAAGAACAUCUGGCAGCCAGAGUGGUAAUGUGAAUGCUUGGAAUUACUUAGUUGGGACAACACAAUGUGUCAGCAUUAAGCCACACAGGAUCAGAACAGUUCCUGUUAUGUGCAGGGAAACUGAAUAACUGAGAAUCACACGUUAGCCUCCAUUUUAUGGCUGGAAUCCCAGAAAUGCCAACGGGAACUGUGGAUGUUGACCAGAAAGAUGUGACCUAUCCAUCUCACUUGCAUGAAAGUGUGUGGUACCACCGUCCAACACAAAAGACUAAUGUGCCUGGAGAACAACAGCAACAGAGUGGCCGUAUAACAACAACAAGGACAAUAACAGUACCAUUUACAGAUUCCACAAGACCACCAAAAGCACUGCUUAACCUUUCAACUGGAAUGGCCACUAUACUCGUAGGUAGCUACAGAUGA
rnacentral:lncRNA from 12 species